GGUUGCUUCGUCCAGUGGUAGGAUACCUCUUUCGGGAAUGACCCGGUCUUCAAAAGAGGCUUAAAAUAGAGGUGGUCGCGAGUUCGAAUCCCGCAGUGACCC